rnacentral:rRNA from 1 species
UGCAGGCUGCAACCCGCCCUGCAUGAAGUUGGAAUCGCUAGUAAUCGCGGAUCAGCAUGCCGCGGUGAAUACGUUCCCGGGCCUUGUACACACCGCCCGUCACACCAUGAGAGCCGGGAACACCCGAAGUCCGUAGUCUAACCGCAAGGAGGACGCGGCCGAAGGUGGGUUUGGUAAUUGGGGUGAAGUCGUAACAAGGUAUC